rnacentral:rRNA from 1 species
AUUCGGGGAGGUAGUGACAAGAAAUAAUAACUCGGGUAGUUCUACUAUUACGGGAUUAAAAUGAGAACAAUUUAAAAAUCUUAGCGAGGAUCAAAAUGAGGGCAAGUCUGGUGCCAGCAGCCGCGGUAAUUCCAGCUCAUUUAGUGUAUAUUAAAGUUGUUGCAGUUAAAAAGCUCGUAGUCGAUCAUCUAGUGCUGGCUGCUUCGGCUUCGGCUGCGGUACGCGAGUGCUAUCUGCUCGAGAACUUUAUCGGUCUUAACUGGUCGAUGAUGCUGAUCGGGCACUUUCCUGAGAAAAAAUUAGAGUGUUCAAAGCAGGCUAAUGCCUUGAAUAUUACAGCUUGGAAUAAUAGAAUAAGACUGAAGUCUCUUUUGUUGGUUAUGAACUUUAGUAAUGGUUAAUAGGAACAGUCGGGGGUAUUAGUAUUUAAUUGUCAGAGGUGAAAUUCUAUGAUUUAUUAAAGACUAACUUAUGCGAAAGCAUUUGCCAAGGAUGUUUUCAAUUGAUCAAGAACGAAAGUUAGGGGAUCAAAGACGAUCAGAUACCGUCCUAGUCUUAACUAUAAACGAUUCCGACUAUGGAUCAGAAGGGUUUUCCAAUCCCUUUUGGCACAUUAUGAGAAAUCAAAGUCUUUGGGUUCUGGGGGAAGUAUGGACACAAGUCUGAAACUUAAAGGAAUUGACGGAAGGGCACACCAGGUGUGGAGCCUGCGGCUUAAUUUGACCCAACACGGGGAAACUUACUAGGGCAAGACUAAGGUUGGAUUGACAGAUUGAGAGCUCUUUCUUGAUUCUUAGGGUGGUGGUGCAUGGCCGUUCUUAGUUGGUGGAGUGAUUUGUCUGGUUAAUUCCGUUAACGAACGAGACCUCAACCUGCUAAACUAGGAGCCGGAUUAAACAUUCGGUUUCCUUCUUAGAGGGACAAAGUGUUCAAGCACUGGGAAGUGAGGCAAUAACAGGUCUGUGAUGCCCCUAGACGUCCUAGGCCGCACGCACGCUACAAUGACACGUUCAACGAGUUUCUUCCUGGUCCUGACGGAUUCGGGUAAUCUUCAUAGUACGUGUCGUGCUUUGGGAUAGUCCUUUGCAAUUAUAGGACUUAAACUAGGAAUACCUAGUAUAGGUAAGUCAUCAGCUUGCCUAGAUUAUGUCCCUGCCCUUUGUACACACCGCCCGUCGCUCCUACCGAUUUUGAGUGAUUAGGUGAACCUUCUGGAUCAGAGUAGUCUUCAAGGCUGUUCUGAGAAGUUAAGUAAAUCAUUAUCACUUAGAGGAAGGAGAAGUCGUAACAAGGUUUCCGUAGGUGAACCUGCGGAAG